AAAUAAUCAAUCUAUUUUUGUUCUAUUUCUGUAAAAAAAAGAAGAAAAAUAAUUAUAGCUUGCAGUAUUGGUCAAAUGCAUGUAUGUAUGUUUGUUGUCUUUGCCGAGACUUCACAUUCACUGCAGGUCGUUCACUCGAUGAUUCCAGCACCGAGUCAUGGGUUGAACACUACAAAGUACAAACUAUAGCUGUUGUCACUUAGCGUGCGCAGAGAGGCGCGUAGGGCGGAUGUGGCUCUCCACAGGCCACAGUCCUCGCCCUUUCGAUGAGGUGAAUAGCCACAGCUUGGAGUUUUCUUAUGUGGAGGCAAAACGAGGAUAAGGUUGUGAUAGACAAAAAAAAAAAAAAAAAAAGAAGAGAUGUGAACAACACAUCACUUUCCACAGGCUAUUUCUAAUCCCUUAGGCCGGUGCUAUGUGGCCUAUAAAUACCCACAUAGACAGACCUCCAAUGGAAGACAUCAUAGGAAAGACAAAGAAAAAAGGAGCAUGGUUUUCUUGGAUCUCUCUCCCUCAAAGGUUUCUCUUCAACCAGAGGCUUAGAGAAACUUUUGUUGGAGAGGAACCCCAGAAUGGUCCAAUGCAUGCAUCAUCUGUUCCCCCCCUUGGUUCUUUGGCUCUAAUCUAACAUUUCGUCUUUUCCUGUAGGUUAGCAGUAAUAUGCAAAAAUUAGGCUUUUUGGUGAACAUCAACAAGCGAGAAUAAGAUCUUUCAUCCGUCUUUCUCCAGCUCAAUGAUUUUGGUCGGGAUGAUUGGCACAUAGUCUAUAAAGAAAGAUCCACAAUUAUCAAGUUUUACUUCACCCUGGCCUUGAGCAGUUUAAGAAUCAUGUCAGUUCUACAGGUGCACAACAAAAAUAGAAAGAUAAAAUUACCAACAAAUUAGCGACUCAUGCAGACCCUUACAAACAUCUUUAAAUUGAGGUCAACUACAGUAUACAGUUGAUACAGCAUCAUAUUACUCCUGUCGGAAGCCCUCGGAGCAAGAGUGAAAUUACAGGCACCUGCUUUUCGCAGCUCGACUCAGACAAAGGCUUCAUUCCAAGUCCAUCAACUCCUAGAUUGGAUUCCGGCUAGCUUGAUUAGCAACUACGUUGCUGCUUCUGAAUGAAACGUGUCGCCAAAUCCACUUUCUGUUCCAAAUUCAGCAGACGAUGCUUCUAUAUCAUGUGUUCUUUCCCAA